UUUGGAAACCCAAUCUUGAUUGGCUGAGGAAAGAAAAUCAACGGGGUUUCUCUACGGUAAAGAAAGGGGCCGGAAGUCGAGAGGGAGUGCCGCGUCCCGUCCUGUUACACUGCCCUGUUGGAGCUGGCAGGACAUGGAGCCAGCGCAAUCGCUAUCAAAUAUUUUCUAAUCUAGAUGAUCAUGAACAGUAUGACUUGCCUCGAAUCCUGUAAGACUCAUAUAAAAUUGUCUAUUAAUGCAAAAAGGUAUUGUUGGAAAAUACCCCCCCCCCCUAUUAGAUGUGAAAGUAGUUCCUAGAAUAAAACAAUAAAACAGUGAUAUUAUGUACAGCAAUUGAUUCCCUUAAAUCAGAUCAGCCAAGACAAAUGACGUACAUAUUGAUAACCUUACUACAAUAAAUCCAAAAUGAUGUUCAUCAUCCUACAUUUUGACUUGAAAACAGAUAUAGUGAUUAUGCAGAAUACUAUCUUCUGCUGUUUGGUUAUAACAUCCAAUGGCCAAAUAUAUAUAUGUAACCAUGCUACGUGUUGUGCUGAUUACCCCGGUCACUGCGUCUGAGGCCUUAAUAAGACAAACAUUCAACGGGGUGGUUGUAUGAAGCAACACAUUUAAGCUCCACACCAGUCAAAUGUAUAUAUAAACCCUUUUUUUUUUAUUCUUUUUUUUUUUUUUUACAUAAGCAGAUGUCACUAAGGGCUUAUACAGAAACCACGCCUAAAACCCCAAACAGCAAGCAAUGCAGAUGUAGAAACGCGGUGGCUAGAAAAAAAACUCCCUAGAAAGGCAGGAACCUAGGAGGAAACCUAGAGAGGAACCAGGCUCUGAGGUGUUGUCAGUCCUCUUCUGGCUGUGGCGGUGAAGAUUAUAAGAGUACAUGGUCCUUAAAGGCCAGAUCGCUCUUCAAGAUGUUAAAAUGUUCAUAGACGACCAGCAGGGUCAAAUAAUAAUCACAGUGGUUAUAGAGGGUGCAACAGGUCAACACCUCAGGAGUAAAUGUCAGUUGGCUUUUCAUAGCAGAGCAUUCAGAGAGGUUGAGACAGCAGGUGCGGUAGAGAGAGAGGGGCGGGGUCACAUCAAAUAAACAACAAAUAAAAAAGUGCAACUAAAGAGCAGAAAUGCAAUACUUUUGUUGAUCUAGCUAAGUAAUUCGAUAUUGUAUCCUAAAUACUGAAGUAUUUCACACUGAUCAUUGAAUGAAGUUAAAUUCACCACCGCAACACCAG
ensembl:lncRNA